AUGCUAUGGUGUGGGCACUCUCUCUUUAGAUCCUUGAACCUUUCCCAGACUUCAAACAAACUCUCGUCUGCUCGUUGUGUAAUGGAAAUUAUCUCUCCCCUUAGACG
rfam:Spinacia oleracea cultivar SynViroflay scaffold50538.con0001.1, whole genome shotgun sequence.